GGGCGUGUGUGCCGUGUCGUGUUUGUCAUCCUUCCAGAGAGCUGCGUCUACCAUUCACUUGGCCGGACGUACGCGAUCUGGAUCGAUUACUUUGAAAAAAUUAGAGUGUUUAAAGCAGGCUUACGCUGUGAAUACAUUAGCAUGGAAUAAUAAUUUAGGACUUCGGUUCUAUUUUGUUGGUUUCUAGGACUGAAGUAAUGAUUGAUAGGGACAGUUGGGGGUGCUAGUAUUCCGCGGCCAGAGGUGAAAUUCUUGGAUUCGCGGAAGACUAACUACUGCGAAAGCAUUCACCAAGGAUGUCUUCUUUAAUCAAGAACGAAAGUUGGGGGAUCGAAGACGAUCAGAUACCGUCGUAGUCUCAACCAUAAACUAUACCGACUAAGGAUCAGUGAACGUUGAUUUACGACUUCAUUGGCACUUUGUGAGAAAUCAAAGUCUUUGGGUUCCGGGGGGAGUAUGGUCGCAAGGCUGAAACUUAAAGGAAUUGACGGAAGGGCACCACCAGGAGUGGAGCCUGCGGCUUAAUUUGACUCAACACGGGAAAACUUACCAGGUCCAGACAUAGUGAGGAUUGACAGAUUGAAGAUCUUUCUUGAUUCUAUGGGGUGGUGGUGCAUGGCCGUUCUUAGUUGGUGGAGUGAUUUGUCUGGUUAAUUCCAGUUAACGAACGAGACCUCGACCUGCUAAAUAGUACCAGUUAUUCAUUGGAUAAUCUGGGCACUUCUUAGAGGGACUAUCGG
rnacentral:rRNA from 1 species